GGCCUACCCCAAAAAGAUAAAUAAUUCAACAUCGAGGUCAUAAUCUUUUUCUUUUAUAAGAACUUUAAGAAAAAAUUGUGCUGUUAUCCCUACGGUAGCUUGGUUGAGUCUCAUCUUGAGGAUAAAAAGAGAGGGAGAAAAAAGAUUUAGUUUUUAACCGCCCCAGUUCAACAUAAGUAAAGUUCGAUAGGGUCUUGUCGUCCUUCUUCGUCAUACAAGUUUUUUUACUUGAUAGAAAAAUUAAAAUAGUUAAGGUAAUAAAGAAAUUCAUAUGUCAGACCUUUCAUACUAGCCUUUAAUUAGAAGGCAAAUGAUUACGCUACCUUAGCACAGAAUGAUUGCGGCUAUUAAAAUAAUCAUUGAGCAGGNCCUACUGAAUAUAAAUUCAUUCAGAAAUGUUUUUGGUAAACAGACAAUAAAUUUAGAGGCCGAGUUCAUGGACCUAAAGUUAAAGCGGGAGGGGGUAGAGCGAGUUAAAUGAAUAAGGUAAUAAGAAUUUUACUAAUAAAAUCAUUGUGGGUUUUGAGAGAAGGCCUUCUUUUAACACAAUUUAAAUAAAGGAGAACGUUAGUUUGAAAACUAGGUGGACACUAUUAAUCCAGUGGUUUUAAUUAGAGAGGAUUGAGCAAUAAUUAAAAAAGAUUAUCCCUUUUUAAAUCUCAGUAUUAUUACUUUUAAUGAAAACCAGAUAUUAAAGAACGCGGAUGGAAUUUCAUCUCUAUAUUCACUUUGGAAAACUUUGUGACACAAGCUUGACAAGGGGAGAUAGAUCGUUUCUAUUUCGGGAAGAUUUUUUAAAAAAGUGGGGUUGACUUUCCCUGAUACCAAAGGUACAUUAAAUUUCUAUUUUUCAAUUUGGGGGGUGUUUCCCUCACGGUAAGACAAUAAGAAGACGCUAACAGGAAUAAAGUAAGUAUUUGUUUAAAUAGGAUGAAAAAGUAAAGGGGCU
rnacentral:rRNA from 1 species